CGGCACAGGUCUUGAACGCGGGGUUUCUCUCAGCUCCCUUUGAAAUCACCAAUAGCACCCACCAAGGAUGCCUGUUGUCACCACUGCUCUACGUAAUGACUCUCGAACCAUUGGCAGUGGCAAUUCCUGAAAAUGCUUCCAUACACAGAGUUGUGGUGGGAGAUAGCGAGUUCAAGACAAACCUGUUUGCGGAUGACAAGCUCCUUACAUUAACG